AAGAGUUUAUGGACUUCGGUCUACUACUCCACCCUUUGUUUACAAUACCAUUGUUGCUUUGGCAGGCCCGUCGAAAGACAACCGGCUUCGGCUGGUCAGUGCCUGCCAGAGGACCUAAAACUCAUAUUAUCUAUGUCGUCUGAGUACUAUAUAAUAGUUA
rnacentral:misc_RNA from 1 species